rnacentral:rRNA from 1 species
UACGUAGGUGGCAAGCGUUGUCCGGAAUUAUUGGGCGUAAAGCGCGCGCAGGCGGUUCUUUAAGUCUGAUGUGAAAGCCCACGGCUCAACCGUGGAGGGUCAUUGGAAACUGGAGAACUUGAGUACAGAAGAGGAAAGCGGAAUUCCACGUGUAGCGGUGAAAUGCGUAGAGAUGUGGAGGAACACCAGUGGCGAAGGCGGCUUUCUGGUCUGUAACUGACGCUGAGGCGCGAAAGCUAGGGGAGCAAACAGG